GACGAACGCUGGCGGCGUGCCUAAUACAUGCAAGUCGAACGCUGAAGGAGGAGCUUGCUCUUCUGGAUGAGUUGCGAACGGGUGAGUAACGCGUAGGUAACCUGCCUGGUAGCGGGGGAUAACUAUUGGAAACGAUAGCUAAUACCGCAUAACAGUAGAUGUUGCAUGACAUUUGCUUAAAAGGUGCAAUUGCAUCACUACCAGAUGGACCUGCGUUGUAUUAGCUAGUUGGUGGGGUAACGGCUCACCAAGGCGACGAUACAUAGCCGACCUGAGAGGGGGAGCGGCCAAACUGGGACUGAGACACGGCCCAGACUCCUACGGGAGGCAGCAGUAGGGAAACUUCGGGAAUGGACGGAAGUCUGACCGAGCAACGCCGCGUGAGUGAAGAAGGUUUUCGGAUCGGAAAGCUCUGUUGUAAGAGAAGAACGAGUGUGAGAGUGGAAAGUUCACACUGUGACGGUAGCUUACCAGAAAGGGACGGCUAACUACGUG
rnacentral:rRNA from 1 species